rnacentral:misc_RNA from 1 species
GGGAAAGGAGGCACGGCUCGACUUGUCUGUAUACACACGCCGGCGUGCACGCUGCAGAGGUUGCACCCCUCCUCUUUUCCCCUUUUACAUUUUCCUUUAGGGGUGCGAACUCCUGCGCCUGCCCUUUUCUGUGCACCAGCUUUUCUCACUGCAGGUACAACGUCCACUCCCCCUCCUUUCACCAAAGUGCCCGCCCCCUGUCCCUGAAACAGCGCACAAACACGUCAGCAUUUAACACGUGAUACUAAAUUAGUAGUGCCAUACACACACACACACGAAAAGCGAGACGCCCCCCUUCCCCCCUUCCCUCCCUUCACCACCGCCAGGGGAUUCCAAUUGUUCCCUAGGUUAAUCAAGGAAGCAAGCGGGACGCAAGAACGCAAGAAACAAGGAAUCAGCGACGCCGGCGGUGAGGAAGCUCGCGAUGCAGGCUUUGCUCUUCCCUCCCCCUUCGUUUUGUGUCCUCUCUCUCCGUCUCUCUUCCGCAGUCACUAAUUCGCUUGUCUCGUGUGUCUUUGUGAGUGAGCCUUCUUCCUCCUUGUAAACCUUAUCGGCCAUUGAUAGCACCGUCUCCUCCCCCCCUCCCCUCACACACACCGCCAACGGCAACGUCGGUUUCCUCUUUCUUUUUUUGUGUUUAGCUGUGGCUUUCUCUCCCAGCGCGUGCCCGCUCCUUGCACGCCGUCAUCAUGCGCGGCGGUGGCUUUGGCCGUUAUGGGUACGAGAAGCCACAGCCAGGUCUGCAGUUUCACUCGUACGAGGAUGCCACCUACCCACCCCGCGCCUACCGGUAUCAUAUUCAGCAAGCCAUGCCCUCACCCGCGACCCCCCGAUCGGCUGGAAGCGGCAGCAGCGGCGGUGGCGCUGGUGCAAGCUCCACCUACAACGCAGAGGCGCAGGUGGAAACCACUAUCGUGCUUCCGACCAUCGAUGCGGAUGCCACGUGCGGCCCCUUCGUCAGGCCUGGAAACUCCGGAGGCAACUCGGCAAUGCCAGCAGCGUCUUCGUCGGUCGGCCAUGUAAGGGGGUCAGCGUCGUCGAUGGCGUCAAACAGCACAGAGGGCGGAUUCGGCACAGGGGCCGGCGGUGGCGCGGACGCGGAGCGGCGCCCACCGCCGCGACUGCGGUACUUCUUUGAAUGUUUCGUUCCAGACGAGGACGCCAGUGAUGCACAGUCCUUGAGUGAGGUUUGGCGGCACAUGGAGCCCCUCAAUCCCUUCCACUACCUCGAGCUGUGGUGCGGCGUCGACGGCGCCGCUGCUGCACCGACAACGGCCGCCGGCCCGGGAUGGGUGAAACCAGAGCCGCCUGCUGAAUUGAACGCUUUUACCGACGGCGACCGUGUCACCGACGGCAGUGCCUCGAAGGUGGAGGACAACACGGCGAAGAAAGAGGCGCAGGGCGGGGCACUGCCGUGUUCGCCCGCGCGGAUCACCGGCGGCGCUCUUAUAACUCGCGCAGCCCAAAAUGCACUCCAGCGUACACUGCGCGCCGUUGGGCUACCGGACGAGCUCAGCUGCAUGGUGAUGCUCUCCGCCCGUAUCCCGCCCGGCGCGCGUCUCACGCGCAAGCAGGAGAAAAUACUUAGACUGCGAGCGCAGCGCCGCCCUCCGCCUCCACGGCCGAUCCGCCGCGGAGCGAAAGUGUUUGUGCCUGUCCCUGCCGUCCUCGUAAGUGCCGCGGAGAACGGGAUGCCUGCAGGAAGCACCAGGGGUGGUGGCGGCCUCCUUGAUGUGACGGCGCUGGGGCCGCGCGUGAUGCGCCUGGCUCCCGCUGGCUUCGCUGAUGCGGCGGCCGGCGUCGACAGCGCAGGGUACUCAAAGGUGCCGUCUGCGGUGUCAGUCAUGGGCGAGUUCGCCUUUGAUGACGACGACGAGGACGAGAAAUACUUCCACAGCGGUCGUCGCGCCGGUAUGAAGCGCGGCCGCCAUGGCGUGGAGGAUGAGCGGCUAGACGACGGGGAUGCUCCACUUAUCAACUCUGGCCGAUGGGGUCUGGAUGGUAGCGCUGGCGGCGGUUUGGGUGGCUCAGCCGGUGCCACCGCCGCUGCUGGUGCGGCAGGUGGCGCUGUGACGGCACAAGGAGACGAGGUCGAGGAAGACCGCGAUGAAGAGGAUGUCUUCUCCACUGGCAUGGUCGACGACGAUGACGACGAGAAUAUGGCGAGCGAGGACGACGUGCAAGAGGACGGGGAGAGCUUCGGCGGCGACGAGGGCGAUGACAGUUUUUAAGAAAGAAGGGGAGGGCGUGUGGGCCUGCAGCGGCCGCACCCACGCCCAUACACGUUUUGCAUGUGUGUGGUCACCGCCAACGCCUCCUCGACAAGAAGAAACGGAUGAUGUAACACAUUUAAUACUGAGCGUGAUUGCGAGCCAGGUCGCGGCGUGAUGUGAUGUGUGUGUGUGUGCGCUGCGCUUGGCGACUGGCGCGAGACCCUCCCGCCUCCACAAAAUUUGUUGUAGCUUUUGGGGUGCUGUGGAGGUCAGAGAACGGAGAGCGGUUGCGGGUGGGUGGGAGAAUCGUUAACGCAGACCGGAUGGGUGCGAGGGCGCACAGCGGUGCUUUCUGUUUUGUUUUCGUUCUCCUUGGCGAGGACGUCGUGGUUUGUAUGACCAGUCGAGCGCUCCUCAGCCAUCUUCUCUGAUGCGACCGUCCUGUUUUGAAGAGAUUCGUCGUCGCCGUCGUCCCCACCCCCUUCUCUCUCUCUUUGCCUUACUCGUUUCGUUUACAGCGCAUCUACGUUGGAUAUAACCUUGACGCCCCCCUCCCCCGUGCCGCCCUGUCGCCGCCGCCGUUGUUGCCCAUGGCCCCCGACAUUACAAGUGUGCACAUGCGAGGUGGGACGAGGUGCGAUGGUGACAGAUUCGCCGCUUGCAGAGCAAGUGGAGGGGGCACCGGCGCCUGGUGCGGCGUAUAUGGCCUCUUCGAAUCCCUUUUCACGCACAUACACGCACACACCUAUACAGCAACACAGGGUCCCGGGCAGCAGCUCGGAAAACCGGACGUGGCGGCUACGCAGCAGAAGUGGAAUAUAAGCGAUUCUGUGGUGAGUGAUUGCCUUUGUUUUUUCCUCAUGGAUCUUAGAGGGGGGCCCUUCAUCUGCGAUUUCAGUGUGACCAUAUGGCCUCUUCAGUCCACUCGGUCAUCCAUAGCUGCUGACAUGCAAACACAUACUCACAGCAGAUGCUACGCGAAGGACGUGUUACAGUACCCACCCUCAAAGACAAGGCGACGGAAAGCGGAAGAAAAGAUCGACCAUCUGCGACGUGACAGCGCGUUUUCAUCGAUUGUCGCGGCCCCUGGAAUCUCACAGGCCGCCCAGAUCCGGAGAUGGUGGCGCAGUGUUCUUCACCAAGCCGCUGCCCAUCCAAUGCGAAGGGGCUUGGAGGGGGUACGCUCGUGCUUAUCGGGCAUGGCUUCCUUGGUGGUGAUCGACAAACGC